rnacentral:pre_miRNA from 1 species
AUCGUAAAACCUUCAGAAGGAAAGAAUGUUUUGUGGACCAUUUUUUUUGUGUGUGGCAGUUUUAAGUU